CGGCGAGUGAACAGGGAAAAGCCCAGCACCGAAGCCUGUGAUCAGUUGAUCAUUAGGCAAUGUGGUGUUCAGGUUGUUCCUUAAAGGUACUGCUCCACCCUAAGUCCAUCAAUGAGUUCGGUUGUAUGGACCUGGCCCACAGAGGGUGAUAGGCCCGUGGGGGUGGAGACCAGGCAUGUCAGUAUCUUUUUGGAUAGACCUUGGAGUCGGGUUGUUUGUGAAUGCAGCCCAAAGUGGGUGGUAAACUCCAUCCAAGGCUAAAUACAAGCACGAGUCCGAUAGUAAACAAGUACCGUGAGGGAAAGUUGAAAAGUACUUUGAAGAGAGAGUAAACAGUGCGUGAAACCGAUCAGAGGUAAACGGGUGGAGUUGAACUGCAAGCUCUGUGAAUUCAGCUGGUGAGUGUGGUUGAGCUUGGUUAAUUCGGUUGGACUACGGAAUCUGUGUAUUAACAGGUCCCUACUCUUUGAGUUGGGGUGCGCGAUACACUUGUCAAGUGUUGCGCGUUUCGUUGUUCCCCGAACCGGCUUGCCAGUGCAUUUUCUCAGAGUAGUCACCACGACCGGCACUGCUGUCUGUCUGUUACGGUUAAACCGGUCUUGCAUUGUCCUUGUGGCUCUGCUUGAUCGGGAUGGCAGGUAGCUCGUUGGCUAGUAUGCAGUCUACUGCAUGCUUUGGUCUUCGAGUGUAAUCAGCUGACUGUGAUAGUCUUGUACAGUGUGUCGGAGACGGCGGCUUCGUGCGUGCGCGCGUGCUCGGUCAGCUGACUUGUUCGGGUUCUGGUUGUUAUGUAGCCUGUGAAGGCAGGCCUAAUAAUGAUCCGAGCUUGUUCAGCUGGCAGUUGCGUGUGUGGUACGGUAACAUGGGCCAAUAGUCUGUGGUGUAGUGGUAGACUAUCCACCCGACCCGUCUUGAAACACGGACCAAGGAGAGUAACAUGUGCGCGAGUCAUUGGGCGAUACGAAACCCAAAGGCGUAGUGAAAGUAAAGGUUUGGCUUGUCCAAGCUGAGGUGAGAUCCUGUCGUUUCUCAUGCGUGGUACUACCAAGCUUUGAGCGGCAGGCGCAUCACCGGCCCGUCCCAUGACAAUUGUUUUCGAUCAUUACCCAGUCGGGGCGGAGCAUGAGCGUACAUGUUGAGACCCGAAAGAUGGUGAACUAUGCUUGCGCAGGUUGAAGCCAGAGGAAACUCUGGUGGAGGACCGAAGCGGUUCUGACGUGCAAAUCGAUCGCCAGACGUGAGUAUAGGGGCG
rnacentral:rRNA from 1 species